rnacentral:rRNA from 1 species
ACGGACAGGUAAUGAAACCUAGUGAUUUAUCUGUUAGUGGCGGACGGGUGAGUAACGCGUGGGUAACCUGCCGUAUACAGGGGGAUAACACUUAGAAAUAGGUGCUAAAACCGCAUAAGCGCACGGAACCGCAUGGUUUUGUGUGAAAAACUCCGGUGGUAUGAGAUGGACCCGCGUCUGAUUAGCUGGUUGGCGGGGUAACGGCCCACCAAGGCGACGAUCAGUAGCCGGCCUGAGAGGGUGAACGGCCACAUUGGGACUGAGACACGGCCCAAACUCCUACGGGAGGCAGCAGUGGGGGAUAUUGCACAAUGGGGGAAACCCUGAUGCAGCGACGCCGCGUGAAGGAAGAAGUAUCCCGGUAUGUAAACUUCUAUCAGCAGGGAAGAAAAUGACGGUACCUGACUAAGAAGCCCCGGCUAACUACGUGCCAGCAGCCGCGGUAAUACGUAGGGGGCAAGCGUUAUCCGGAUUUACUGGGUGUAAAGGGAGCGUAGACGGUGAAGCAAGUCUGAAGUGAAAGGCGGGGGCUCAACCCCCGGACUGCUUUGGAAACUGUUUGACUGGAGUGCAGGAGAGGUAAGUGGAAUUCCUAGUGUAGCGGUGAAAUGCGUAGAUAUUAGGAGGAACACCAGUGGCGAAGGCGGCUUACUGGACUGUAACUGACGUUGAGGCUCGAAAGCGUGGGGAGCAAACAGGAUUAGAUACCCUGGUAGUCCACGCGGUAAACGAUGAUCACUAGGUGUCGGUGAGUAUAGACUCAUCGGUGCCGUCGCAAACGCAGUAAGUGAUCCACCUGGGGAGUACGUUCGCAAGAAUGAAACUCAAA